rnacentral:rRNA from 1 species
GAUGAACGCUAGCGGGAGGCCUAACACAUGCAAGCCGAGCGGUAGAGUUCCUUCGGGAACUUGAGAGCGGCGUACGGGUGCGUAACACGUGUGCAACCUACCUUUAUCUGGGGGAUAGCCUUUCGAAAGGAAGAUUAAUACCCCAUAAUAUAAUGAUUGUCAUCCAUUAUUAUUGAAAACUCCGGUGGAUAGAGAUGGGCACGCGCAAGAUUAGAUAGUUGGUGAGGUAACGGCUCACCAAGUCAAUGAUCUUUAGGGGUCCUGAGAGGGAGAUCCCCCACACUGGGACUGAGACACGGACCAGACACCUACGGGAGGCAGCAGUGAGGAAGAUUGAACAAUGGGUGAAAGCCUGAUCCAGCCAUCCCGCGUGAAGGAUGACGGUCCUAUGGAUUGUGAACUUCUUUUGGACAGGGAUAAACCUACUCUCGUGAGGGUAGCUGAAGGUACUGUACGAAUAAGCACCGGCUAACUACGUG